rnacentral:rRNA from 1 species
AGAUCGGCGCAGAGAUGCGUUUCCCUUGUGGUUGGUGUACAGGUGGUGCAUGGUUGUCGUCAGCUCGUGUCGUGAGAUGUUGGGUUAAGUCCCGCAACGAGCGCAACCCUUGUCUUAUGUUGCCAGCACGUGAUGGUGGGGACUCAUGAGAGACUGCCGGGGUUAACUCGGAGGAAGGUGGGGAUGACGUCAAAUCAUCAUGCCCCUUAUGUCCAGGGCUUCACACAUGCUACAAUGGUCGGUACAACGCGUGUGCGACACUGUGAGGUGAAGCUAAUCGCUCUAAAGCCGGUCGUAGUUCGGAUUGGGGUCUGCAACUCGACCCCAUGAAGUCGGAGUCGCUAGUAAUCGCAGAUCAGCAACGCUGCGGUGAAUACGUUCCCGGGCCUU